CUUGUGUUCUCUGGUCCCUGAUACUCCUUCAGCUUGGAGUCCUAUGUCUCCUCAGAUUUCUUACCUGCUAGUGGAAAUGAACUCCCAGCCAUAGCUUCUCUCCCUCCUAUCUGUCUUCUGCAUUGCUAUCAGACAGGCCUUCCACACUGCAUCGAUGGCCCUUCCACCACUCUCCCCAAUCAGAACUCUGCAAAUGUAACAAGAUGAGGUCACAGAGCCCCCAGGAAGAAGAGGCUUUGUCCCUCAGAGCUGAGCAUUCUAGGAACUCUCUGGGCUAGAGAGCUUCAGGGCUCACAGGAGGCUUGGAGGAGAGAACAGCUCUGCUCAUCAUGUGCGAGGGGAUAAAGGCAACAGUGCAGAAACAUGUGCAGAACCUGCGACACAGUAAGGAGGAGCUAAACAGGCUGAACCAGGCCAUCCAGCGGCUGACAGUGGAAGUGGAUGGCACCAAGAGCCAGGUGAGGGGCGGGUGUGGGGGUGGCUGAGUGGUGAUGCUGGUGACGCAUCCUAGACUAGACUAGACCUUCCCCCCAUCCUUUGGAUAGAGUUUCUCUUUGUGAAGUUCUGAGCAAACAGGAGUGUGGAUAUGUGUGUAUAUACCAUGCUUCCAUUUGCUCAGGACUUUGAGUUUUUUUUUUAAUGUGGAUACGUAAUUAACACGUAGGUAAAAAUGUAUGCAUAUGGAUGCUUGUUUGUAUAUCAUUUUUUAUGUAUAUAUAUAUUUUUAAGUCUGUAUGUUUUGUGAUUGUCCUACAGUGUGAAAUUUGAGCCCAUCUUCAGAAAUGGCAAGAUCUUACCUAGAAAUUCAGUAUCAUGGAUUCCCUCUAUAAACAUGCAGAUCUGGCAAUAUUAAACUGGUCUCACAUGGUCUCACACAGUAACAUCUGGUGAGGGAAGAGAGGCCUCUACCUUCUCUUUCAUCUUCACAUGGGGCUCAUGUUCCUGCAGUGUGCCGCAGACUCCACCACUCCAAAUUGCAUCCUUUGACACUGAGGCAGAGGGAUCUUUGCCAUUUAUCCUCACCUUGGCUAGUACUCUUGUCAUUCUUGUCAAAGAGAUAGAGCUAGGCUCUGGAUCUAGCUCUCUAUCUAAGGUGAAGAAAUGAAAGACUGAAAACAGGAAAGACAUCCUUGUGAUUUCAGGAAAAUUAAGAGUGUGUACAUUUCUUUAUAGAGCUGGGUACUAUCCACAUAUACUUUACAUUUGGCCUUUAUUCCCUCUCCCCUCCCUCCCUGCCACCCCCGCUGUGCCCAGUCUUAGUUACAGAACUCCUAGUUCCCUGAUCAGGGAUGGAACCAGGCCCUGGGCAUUGGGAGUGCAGUCUUAACCAAUGAACCACCAGGAAAGUCCCUGGCCUAUACUUUUUGAUGUCUCCAGCCAGGCUCUGUAGGCAUUUGUGUUUCUCAGGCUUUAGGCUCCAGAAAGAGAAGGUUCCCACAUGAAUGCCCUCUUUCUCCCCACCUCUCUCCCUCUCACCCACUCCUCUUUUUUCUCAGCCGCCCUCUUGGUUAAGCUCCUGCCCUGGCCCAUGCUCCAUCCCGCAAAGGGAAGAGGUUCUGCUUCCAGUCAGUUCUUGUUUUCUGCAGAGACAAGUGUCUCAGGCUCUGCAGGAUAUUCGUGGGGGUUCUCCCUUCUCCAGGAACCCCUGGCUUUGAGGAGGGACAAGCUGUUCAGGUUCCAGGGGUGACAGAGUGGUGGCUGGGUGGGCCCAGUCUCCCAGCAGACUCAGCUGCUCUGAUUCCCUGACUGGUUCCCUAAGCAGCAGGUAUGCCUUCUCAAGGCAGCCCUUUAUUAUCAAUAUUUUUUUCCCUAGAGACUACAAAUUCCAGUCUCUUAUGAGGAAAGGAUACUCUUCCUGUUCAUUCCCUGAUGAAACAAUAACCCCAGAAUGACAUGCUAAAAUGUAUUUUAUGCUUCCCAGACCCUAGCUCAUUUUGGAAGUGUCACUAUACUAGAUGUGGGCUUCCCAGGUAGGCUAGGGGUAAAGAACCAGUCUGCCAAGGUGGGAGCUGCAGAAGACACGGGUUCAACCUCUGGGUGGGAAGAUCCCCUG